AUUGAACGCUGGAGGUAUGCUUAACACAUGCAAGUCGAACGCGAAAGUUUCUUCGGAAACAAGUAGAGUGGCGGACGGGUGAGUAACGCGUAGGAAUAUACCUAGUAGUGGGGGAUAACAUGGAGAAAUUCAUGCUAAUACCGCAUAUGUCCCACGGGAUAAAGAGGGCCUCUUCUUGAAAGCUCUUGCUAUUAGAUUAGCCUGCGUCGGAUUAGCUUGUUGGUGGGGUAAUGGCCCACCAAGGCGACGAUCCGUAGCUGGUCUGAGAGGAUGAUCAGCCACACUGGGACUGAGACACGGCCCAG
rnacentral:rRNA from 1 species